rnacentral:tRNA from 5 species
CGGGAUAGCUCAGUUGGUAGAGCAGAGGACUGAAAAUCCUCGUGUCACC